CUGCAGAGCAUGUGGUCCCAGGCUAAGCAACACACCUGAUUGCCAACUAGGACUGAUCAAGUAGGACACCUUUGCCAGUUUGACAUAAAGGAAGACAUUUCAUUCUAGUUUGUGCAGUUCUUCUGGAUACCUAUCGUGUGGGUCAUUCUUUGCACCAGGUUGGGUCUUGCUUGGCUGGAACAACUGUUCUUGGUCUUUGGAUUUUGAAAUCCUGUUUGGACUCUGUGGUUCAGUCUGGUCAGGUAGAGAACUAAAGCUUAUAGAAAUAGCAUCACCCAAAAGAGAGUGCCAGUGCCUUGUGCUGGAGAAGGGAUGGGAAGGAAAGGAGCAUGUAACAUCUUCUGUCAGCAGCUUCUCUUUCAAAGCUUCUCUUUGCUUUUGUGCAUACCAGUGAUCUAAACUGUGAAGCAAAUGAAGCAUGCUAUAUAUUUAUUAUUUUACCAUAGAUUACUGAUAGAGUGGCCAGAUUUGUGAAGUUGCUAGUGGCUAUUGUGAUUCUGUACUUAUUUAAUAAAUUAUGUUUGCUAUUUUUGAUGUCAUCUGGGUAAUGUUUUUAUGUAAACAUUUCUGGUACUGUAUCUAUUUUUGUACUGGUCUUUGACCAUAAUAAAUCAUUCAGUAUUCAGUA